CCCUUAGAUGUCCGGGGCCGCACGCGCGCUACACUGAAGGAAUCAGCGUGGCUUUCUCCCUGACCCGAAAGGGUUGGGAAACCCGUUGAAUCUCCUUCGUGAUAGGGAUUGGGGCUUGAAAUUGUUCCCCAUGAACGAGGAAUUCCCAGUAAGCGCGAGUCAUAAGCUCGCGUUGAUUACGUCCCUGCCCUUUGUACACACCGCCCGUCGCUACUACCGAUUGAACGGUUUAGUGAGGGCCUCGGAUUGGUCUCGGCCCACUCUUUACCGGGCGGCGCCGUUGGUCGAGAAGACGCUCGAACUUGAUCGUUUAGAGGAAGUAAAAGUCGUAACA
rnacentral:rRNA from 1 species